UUAAGUUCAGCGGGUAAUCCUACCUGAUUUGAGGUCAAAUGGUUCAAAGUUGUCCAAGUCAAUGGACUAUUCGAAGCAGCUACUUUUAAGUAAUAACCAGUUCUUGGAGUAGAUAUUAUCACACCACGAUAUGGUCAUGCAGUAACCACUAAUGCAUUUAAGGAGAGCAGACUUCUGAAAAGCCUGCAAACUCCCACAUC
rnacentral:misc_RNA from 1 species